rnacentral:rRNA from 1 species
UACAGAGGUGGCAAGCGUUGUUCGGAAUUACUGGGCGUAAAGCGCGUGUAGGCGGCUCUUCAAGUCAGACGUGAAAUCCCUCGGCUUAACCGGGGAACUGCAUCUGAUACUGGAUGGCUUGAGUUCGGGAGAGGGAUGCGGAAUUCCAGGUGUAGCGGUGAAAUGCGUAGAUAUCUGGAGGAACACCGGUGGCGAAGGCGGCAUCCUGGACCGACACUGACGCUGAGGAGCGAAAGCCAGGGGAGCAAACGGG